AGUGAACGCUGGCGGUAGGCCUAACACAUGCAAGUCGAACGGCAGCACAGAGGAGCUUGCUCCUUGGGUGGCGAGUGGCGGACGGGUGAGGAAUACAUCGGAAUCUACUCUGUCGUGGGGGAUAACGUAGGGAAACUUACGCUAAUACCGCAUACGACCUACGGGUGAGAGCAGGGGAUCUCCGGACCUUGCGCGAUUGAAUGAGCCGAUGUCGGAUUAGCUAGUUGGCGGGGUAAAGGCCCACCAAGGCGACGAUCCGUAGCUGGUCUGAGGGGAUGAACAGCCACACGGGGACUGAGAAACGGUCCAGACUCCUACGGGAGGCAGCAGUGGGGAAUAUUGGACAAUGGGCGCAAGCCUGAUCCAGCCAUACCGCGUGGGUGAAGAAGGCCUUCGGGUUGUAAAGCCCUUUUGUUGGGAAAGAAAUCCAUCUGGUUAAUACCCGGGUGGGAUGACGGUACCCAAAGAAUAAGCACCGGCUAACUUCGUGCCAGCAGCCGCCGUAA
rnacentral:rRNA from 1 species